rnacentral:rRNA from 1 species
UGGGGAAUCUUGCGCAAUGGGCGAAAGCCUGCCGCAGCAACGCCGCGUGGGGGAUGAAGGCUCUCUGGUUGUAAACCCCUUUCAGCAGGGACGAAUCAAGACGGUACCUGCAGAAGAAGCCCCGGCUAACUACGUGCCAGCAGCCGCGUUAACACGCAGCGGGCUAGCGUUGUUCGGAUUUAUUGGGCGUAACGAGCUCGUAGGUGGCUGAGUAAGUCGGAUGUUAAAUCCCCAGGAUCAGCCUGGGACACCACCCGAUACUGCUCUGGCUAGAGUUGGGUGGGGGGGCGUGGAAUUCCUGGUGUAGCGGUGAAAUGCGCAGAUAUCAGGAGGAAGACCAGCGGCGGAGGCGGCGCUCUGGGCCGGUACUGACACUGAGGAGCGAAAGAGUGGGUAGCAAACAGG